AGCUUCAAAAGCAUGCCGACCAGCAGCGGUGGAGGCCGUGUGGGUCCCGUGGCCGUCGGCAUCUCGGGGAGACUUGAACUCGAUAGUUUCAUUAAUCCCGCCCCCGAACCCUCCAAAACCAGGGGAAGCCUCGUGGCCUUUGGAGAAAAAUCUCGCUCCGACAAUUUUGCGGUUGCAGUUCUUGGUGGUGAACCUCACUCCGGCCUGGCAAACACCUUUCCAGCGAGCGGGGACCGGGCCCAAGUUCAGAUCGGAGAAGCUCCGGCGUUCGGGCCAAAUUCCGGUGUCAAACACUCCAAUAAUAACGUCGGAGCCAUAGUCGGAUUCGGACCAGAGACCCCUUUGGUUGCUAAGGCCCAGAAACUGAGGGGAGCGAGUGGUGUGGAGAUGUCGGCGGCGGUCCUCAAAAGCGGCGAGGAUAGAAGGGUGCUUGAGGACAGAGGCGGCUUGGGAGGGAGUUAAAGAGGCGGAGAAGCCGUGGAAAACUUUGUCGUAGACAUGGAGGAUGGUGGGAGAGGGGGUGAACUCGGAGGUGUAC
rnacentral:lncRNA from 1 species